rfam:Gossypium hirsutum cultivar TM-1 chromosome 15, whole genome shotgun sequence
UCACUGGAGUUUUUAGACUCCACAAAUAAGGUUAGAGAAUUGAAAU